rnacentral:rRNA from 1 species
UUGCGGUGGCAUGUUUUUGAUGCAAAGGGCCAGGUACUUGGACCGGUGGCAUCCCAGAUAGUUGUUGUGCUUCAAGGCAAGGACAAGCCAACCUGUGUACCUCAUGUGGAAGAUGGAGACAUGUGUAUUAUUCUUAAUGCAAAAGAUAUUUGUGUUACAGGAAGAAAAAUGAGUGACAAAAUUUACUAUUGGCAUACAGGGUUAGUAUGUUGGCCACCUGAAAGAAAGAAAGAUGACCAGAUGGCAAAAGACCCAACUGAAGUGAUCCAUAAAGCUGUCAUGCGCAUGCUUCCUCACAAUAAAUUGCAUGAUGAUAGGGAUCGCAAGUUGACGAUAUUUGCUGAAGGUGAGCAUCUAUUUCAUGAUCGCCUCUCGAACCUUGUCAUGCCACCACGCAAAGUACGUGAGAUGCGCCCCUGGGCAAGACGUGCAAUGAUAAGGACAUAGAAUAAAGAUCAGGACAGGGAACCUAAGAAAGCCGAGGGAGAAGUAGCUAAGAAUGACAAAAUUGCAGCCGCUGCAUAA